rnacentral:rRNA from 1 species
AGCGGCGGACGGGUGAGUAACGCGUGGGUAACCUGCCUUACACAGGGGGAUAACAGUUAGAAAUGACUGCUAAUACCGCAUAAGACCCCGGUACCGCAUGAUACAGAGGUAAAAACUGAGGUGGUGUAAGAUGGACCCGCGUCUGAUUAGGUAGUUGGUGAGGUAACGGCUCACCAAGCCGACGAUCAGUAGCCGGCCUGAGAGGGUGGACGGCCACAUUGGGACUGAGACACGGCCCAGACUCCUACGGAAGGCAGCAG